CGGCGGACGGGUGAGUAACGCGUGGAUAACCUGCCUCACACAGGGGGAUAACAGUUAGAAAUGACUGCUAAUACCGCAUAAGCGCACGGUACCGCAUGGUACAGCGUGAAAAACUCCGGUGGUGUGAGAUGGAUCCGCGUCUGAUUAGGUAGUUGGUGAGGUAACGGCCCNCCAAGCCGACGAUCAGUAGCCGACCUGAGAGGGUGACCGGCCACAUUGGGACUGAGACACGGCCCAAACUCCUACGGGAGGCAGCAUG
rnacentral:rRNA from 1 species